rnacentral:rRNA from 1 species
CCUACGGGAGGCAGCAGUGGGGAAUAUUGCACAAUGGGCGAAAGCCUGAUGCAGCGACGCCGCGUGAGGGAUGACGGCCUUCGGGUUGUAAACCUCUUUCAGCAGGGAAGAAGCGAAAGUGACGGUACCUGCAGAAGAAGCGCCGGCUAACUACGUGCCAGCAGCCGCGGUAAUACGUAGGGCGCAAGCGUUGUCCGGAAUUAUUGGGCGUAAAGAGCUCGUAGGCGGCUUGUCACGUCGGGUGUGAAAGCCCGGGGCUUAACCCCGGGUCUGCAUUCGAUACGGGCUAGCUAGAGUGUGGUAGGGGAGAUCGGAAUUCCUGGUGUAGCGGUGAAAUGCGCAGAUAUCAGGAGGAACACCGGUGGCGAAGGCGGAUCUCUGGGCCAUUACUGACGCUGAGGAGCGAAAGCGUGGGGAGCGAACAGGAUUAGAUACCCUGGUAGUCCACGCCGUAAACGGUGGGAACUAGGUGUUGGCGACAUUCCACGUCGUCGGUGCCGCAGCUAACGCAUUAAGUUCCCCGCCUGGGGAGUCGGCCGCAAGGCUAAACUCAAAGGAUUGACGGCNGAGACGUGCGAGCGACGACGAGGGAGAGG